rnacentral:piRNA from 1 species
UAGGUGCAGCGGAUCGGCCGUAGAGACC